UACGUAGGGUGCGAGCGUUAAUCGGAAUUACUGGGCGUAAAGCGUGCGUAGGCGGUUCGUUAAGUCUGUUGUGAAAGCCCCGGGCUCAACCUGGGAAUGGCAAUGGAUACUGGCGAGCUAGAGUGUGUCAGAGGAUGGUGGAAUUCCCGGUGUAGCGGUGAAAUGCGUAGAGAUCGGGAGGAACAUCAGUGGCGAAGGCGGCCAUCUGGGGACAACACUGACGCUGAGGCACGAAAGCGUGGGGAGCAAACAGG
rnacentral:rRNA from 1 species